GUGCAAGUCGUACGAGAAAGUUCCCUUCGGGGAGUGAGUAAAGUGGCGAACGGGUGAGUAACACGUAAGAACCUGCCCUCAGGCUUGGGAUAACAUCGCGAAAGUGAUGCUAAUACCAUAUAAUAUCUACGGAUCAAAGGAGGUCCUGCUUCCACCUGAGGAGGGGCUUGCGGCCCAUUAGCUUGUUGGUGAGGUAAAGGCUCACCAAGGCCACGACGGGUAGCCGGCCUGAGAGGGUGUACGGCCACACUGGAACUGAGACACGGUCCAGACUCCUACGGGAGGCAGCAGUGGGGAAUAUUGGGCAAUGGGCUAACGCCUGACCCAGCAAUGCCGUGUGGGUGAUGAAGCUCUUCGGAGUGUAAAACCCUUUUAUGAGCGAAGAAACGUACUAUUGAGUAAUAUGCUUUGUACUUGACGGUAACUCAUGAAUAAGCCCCGGCUAACUCCGUGCCAGCAGCCGCGGUAAUACGGAGGGGGCAAGCGUUGUUCGGAAUUACUGGGCGUAAAGGGCGUGCAGGCGGUUCUGUAGGUCAGAUGUGAAAGCCCCAGGCUUAACCUGGGAAUUGCGUUUGAAACCACAGGGCUUGAGGCUGGGAGAGGAAAGCGGAAUUCCUGGUGUAGCGGUGAAAUGCGUAGAUAUCAGGAGGAACACCGGUGGCGAAGGCGGCUUUCUGGACCAGUUCUGACGCUGAUGCGCGAAAGCGUGGGGAGCGAACGGGAUUAGAUACCCCGGUAGUCCACGCUGUAAACGAUGAGCACUAGGUGUAGCGGGUAUCGACCCCUGCUGUGCCGCAGCUAACGCAUUAAGUGCUCCGCCUGGGGAGUACGUUCGCAAGAAUGAAACUCAAAGGAACUGACGGGGGCCCGCACAAGCGGUGGAGUAUGUGGUUUAAUUCGAUGCAACGCGAAAAACCUUACCGGGGCUUGACAUGUUGGUGGUAGGAAGCCGAAAGGUAACCCACCCCUUCGGGGGAGCCUUCACAGGUGCUGCAUGGCUGUCGUCAGCUCGUGUCGUGAGAUGUUGGGUUAAGUCCCGCAACGAGCGCAACUCCUACCCUUAGUUGCCAUCAGCUAGGCUGGGAACUCUAAGGGAACUGCCGGUGACAAACCGGAGGAAGGUGGGGAUGACGUCAAGUCCUCAUGGCCCUUACGUCCCGGGCUACACACGUACUACAAUGGUCGGUACAAAGAGUCGCAAGACCGCGAGGUGGAGCUAAUCUCAAAAAACCGGCCUCAAUUCGGAUUGGAGUCUGCAACUCGACUCCAUGAAGUUGGAAUCGCUAGUAAUCGCGGAUCAGCAUGCCGCGGUGAAUACGUUCCCGGGCCUUGUACACACCGCCCGUCACACCACGAAAGUUGGUUGCACUAGAAGUCGCUAGGCUAACCCGCAAGGGGGGCAGGUGCCCAAGGUGUGAUCAAUGGUUGGGGUGAAGUCGUAACAAGGUA
rnacentral:rRNA from 1 species